AGGUUAAAAAAAGAGGUCGGAAAAGGUCAAUAUGGAAGUUAUUUUUACAUCUCGGUGAAAACGACACUUGUCGUACGUAAGUUUCACGGUUAAACGAUGAAAAGUGGGUCGUCUCAAUCUCGUUUGCGAAUCCAUUGCCAAGACGUUUUAUAUGGUUUCCAAAAAAAUGCUCACUAGGCAAUAAAUGGAUUUGCUAAGUAAACUGAGUAAGAAAGUAUGUAACGAUAAGAAAGUUGGUGUAAUCGAAAAAAAAAAUAGAAAUGGAACGGAUUUCUUGUAGAUUAAAACCCGAUUAAAGUAAUGUACAAAUAA